rnacentral:rRNA from 1 species
AACGUAGGAGGCGAGCGUUAUCCGGAGUUACUGGGCGUAAAGCGCGUGUAGGUGGUUGGAUACGUCUGCUGUGAAAUGUCCCGGCUUAACCGGGAGGGUGCGGCAGAUACGGUCUGACUUGAGGGCGACAGAGGAGCGUAGAAUUCCGGGUGUAGUGGUGAAAUGCGUAGAGAUCCGGAGGAAUACCAGUGGCGAAGGCGGCCUGCUGGGCUGUUGCUGACGCUGAGGCGGCGACAGCGUGGGGAGCAAACAGG